GACAGAGGGUGCAAACGUUGUUCGGAAUUACUGGGCGUAAAGCGCGUGUAGGCUGCUCGGAAAGUCGGAUGUGAAAGCCCUGGGCUCAACCUAGGAAGUGCAUUCGAAACUUCCGAGCUGGAGUGCUGGAGAGGAAGGCGGAAUUCUCGGUGUAGAGGUGAAAUUCGUAGAUAUCGAGAGGAACACCGGUGGCGAAGGCGGCCUUCUGGACCGGCAUUGACGCUGAGGAGCGAAAGCCAGGGGAGCAAACGGG
rnacentral:rRNA from 1 species